GACGUAGGAGGCGAGCGUUGUCCGGAUUCACUGGGCGUAAAGAGCACGCAGGCGGUUUGGCAAGUCGGAUGUGAAAACCCGAAGCUCAACUUCGGGCCUGCAUCCGAAACUGCCCGACUAGAGGUAGGUAGGGGAGAUCGGAAUUCCUGGUGUAGCGGUGAAAUGCGUAGAGAUGGGGGAGAACACUCGUGGCGAAGGCGGCCAGCUAGACCAGUUCUGACACUGAGGCGCGACAGCGUGGGGAGCAAACAGG
rnacentral:rRNA from 1 species